UUAAGCGACUAAGCGUACACGGUGGAUGCCCUGGCAGUCAGAGGCGAUGAAGGACGUGCUAAUCUGCGAUAAGCGUCGGUGAGGUGAUAUGAACCGUUAUAACCGGCGAUUUCCGAAUGGGGAAACCCAGUGUGUUUCGACACACUAUCAUUAACUGAAUCCAUAGGUUAAUGAGGCGAACCGGGGGAACUGAAACAUCUAAGUACCCCGAGGAAAAGAAAUCAACCGAGAUUCCCCCAGUAGCGGCGAGCGAACGGGGAGCAGCCCAGAGCCUGAAUCAGUGUGUGUGUUAGUGGAAGCGUCUGGAAAGGCGCGCGAUACAGGGUGACAGCCCCGUACACAAAAAUGCACAUACUGUGAGCUCGAUGAGUAGGGCGGGACACGUGGUAUCCUGUCUGAAUAUGGGGGGACCAUCCUCCAAGGCUAAAUACUCCUGACUGACCGAUAGUGAACCAGUACCGUGAGGGAAAGGCGAAAAGAACCCCGGCGAGGGGAGUGAAAAAGAACCUGAAACCGUGUACGUACAAGCAGUGGGAGCCUCUUUAUGGGGUGACUGCGUACCUUUUGUAUAAUGGGUCAGCGACUUAUAUUCUGUAGCAAGGUUAACCGAAUAGGGGAGCCGAAGGGAAACCGAGUCUUAACUGGGCGUUAAGUUGCAGGGUAUAGACCCGAAACCCGGUGAUCUAGCCAUGGGCAGGUUGAAGGUUGGGUAACACUAACUGGAGGACCGAACCGACUAAUGUUGAAAAAUUAGCGGAUGACUUGUGGCUGGGGGUGAAAGGCCAAUCAAACCGGGAGAUAGCUGGUUCUCCCCGAAAGCUAUUUAGGUAGCGCCUCGUGAAUUCAUCUCCGGGGGUAGAGCACUGUUUCGGCAAGGGGGUCAUCCCGACUUACCAACCCGAUGCAAACUGCGAAUACCGGAGAAUGUUAUCACGGGAGACACACGGCGGGUGCUAACGUCCGUCGUGAAGAGGGAAACAACCCAGACCGCCAGCUAAGGUCCCAAAGUCAUGGUUAAGUGGGAAACGAUGUGGGAAGGCCCAGACAGCCAGGAUGUUGGCUUAGAAGCAGCCAUCAUUUAAAGAAAGCGUAAUAGCUCACUGGUCGAGUCGGCCUGCGCGGAAGAUGUAACGGGGCUAAACCAUGCACCGAAGCUGCGGCAGCGACACUAUGUGUUGUUGGGUAGGGGAGCGUUCUGUAAGCCUGUGAAGGUGUGCUGUGAGGUAUGCUGGAGGUAUCAGAAGUGCGAAUGCUGACAUAAGUAACGAUAAAGCGGGUGAAAAGCCCGCUCGCCGGAAGACCAAGGGUUCCUGUCCAACGUUAAUCGGGGCAGGGUGAGUCGACCCCUAAGGCGAGGCCGAAAGGCGUAGUCGAUGGGAAACAGGUUAAUAUUCCUGUACUUGGUGUUACUGCGAAGGGGGGACGGAGAAGGCUAUGUUGGCCGGGCGACGGUUGUCCCGGUUUAAGCGUGUAGGCUGGUUUUCCAGGCAAAUCCGGAAAAUCAAGGCUGAGGCGUGAUGACGAGGCACUACGGUGCUGAAGCAACAAAUGCCCUGCUUCCAGGAAAAGCCUCUAAGCAUCAGGUAACAUCAAAUCGUACCCCAAACCGACACAGGUGGUCAGGUAGAGAAUACCAAGGCGCUUGAGAGAACUCGGGUGAAGGAACUAGGCAAAAUGGUGCCGUAACUUCGGGAGAAGGCACGCUGAUAUGUAGGUGAAGUCCCUUGCGGAUGGAGCUGAAAUCAGUCGAAGAUACCAGCUGGCUGCAACUGUUUAUUAAAAACACAGCACUGUGCAAACACGAAAGUGGACGUAUACGGUGUGACGCCUGCCCGGUGCCGGAAGGUUAAUUGAUGGGGUUAGCGGUAACGCGAAGCUCUUGAUCGAAGCCCCGGUAAACGGCGGCCGUAACUAUAACGGUCCUAAGGUAGCGAAAUUCCUUGUCGGGU
rnacentral:rRNA from 1 species